UUCCAGCCAAUCAGCAGCAGACCCUCCCUCCCAGACCCUCCCACCUCCUGGACAGCAUCCAUUGUGAAGCUGCAUUCUUAGUGAGCUGUCCAGGAGGUGGGAGGGUCUGGGAGGGAGGGUCUGCUGCUUAAUAUUUUUU